rnacentral:piRNA from 1 species
UGCAUGAACAGUGUACUCUAGUUGGU